rnacentral:precursor_RNA from 1 species
GCGGGGAGCCGAGGCGACCAGCGCAGCCGGCUCAGUGCACCGGCGCCGGCCCUCGAGUUCCCCGCGA